rnacentral:piRNA from 1 species
GGAGCUGAUGGUGUUUCCCUUUGGUC